UACGGAGGGGGCUAGCGUUGUUCGGAAUUACUGGGCGUAAAGCGCACGUAGGCGGCUUGGUAAGUUAGAGGUGAAAGCCCGGAGCUCAACUCCGGAAUUGCCUUUAAGACUGCCGAGCUAGCAGGUGAGAGAGGUGAGUGGAAUUCCGAGUGUAGAGGUGAAAUUCGUAGAUAUUCGCAAGAACACCAGUGGCGAAGGCGGCUCACUGGCCCGGUACUGACGCUGAGGUGCGAAAGCGUGGGGAGCAAACAGG
rnacentral:rRNA from 1 species